rnacentral:rRNA from 1 species
CUUGACAGGUUACUCUGAGUGAUUUCCGCUAAGGAGAUCUUUUGGCACCUCUAAAAAUGGUGCAGAAUAAGGGGUGGGCAAGUCUGGUGUCAGCCGCCGCGGUA